rnacentral:rRNA from 1 species
GGGGAAUAUUGCACAAUGGGGGAAACCCUGAUGCAGCGACGCCGCGUGAGUGAUGAAGUAUUUCGGUAUGUAAAGCUCUAUCAGCAGGGAAGAUAAUGACGGUACCUGACUAAGAAGCACCGGCUAAAUACGUGCCAGCAGCCGCGGUAAUACGUAUGGUGCAAGCGUUAUCCGGAUUUACUGGGUGUAAAGGGUGCGUAGGUGGCAAGGCAAGUCUGAAGUGAAAAUCCGGGGCUCAACCCCGGAACUGCUUUGGAAACUGUUUAGCUGGAGUACAGGAGAGGUAAGUGGAAUUCCUAGUGUAGCGGUGAAAUGCGUAGAUAUUAGGAGGAACACCAGUGGCGAAGGCGACUUACUGGACUGCUACUGACACUGAGGCACGAAAGCGUGGGGAGCAAAC